AUUGAACGCUGGCGGCAGGCCUAACACAUGCAAGUCGAACGAGUGGCGGACGGGUGAGUAAUGUCUGGGAAACUGCCUGAUGGAGGGGGAUAACUACUGGAAACGGUAGCUAAUACCGCAUACUAUCGGAUGUGCCCAGAUGGGAUUAGCUAGUAGGUGGGGUAACGGCUCACCUAGGCGACGAUCCCUAGCUGGUCUGAGAGGAGGACCGGCUACACGGGAGGUGAGACACGGGCUAGACUCCUACGGGAGGCAGCAGUGGUGAAUAUUGCACGAUGGGCGCAAGCCUGAUGCAGCCAUGCCGCGUGUAUGCAGAAGGCCUUCGGGUUGUAAAGUACUUACAGCGGUGAGGCGUUACCAGCAGAAGAAGCACCGGCUAACUCCGUGCCAGCAGCCGCGGUAAUUC
rnacentral:rRNA from 1 species